rnacentral:tRNA from 1 species
GCCUGGGUGGCUUGGUCAGUUAAGCGUCUGACUUCGGCUCAGGUCAUGAUCUCACAGUCCGUGAGUUCGAGCCCCACGUCGGGCU